UGGGGCCCGUGUGAUCCAUCC
rnacentral:misc_RNA from 1 species